GAUACAGGAUCUUUAGUGUGGUAUUCGAGACUCAAACGGCACAGACACAGACAUUAGAUUGUCUAUAUAGUCCAAUUCUAUACGGUGGCUGCUGUAUUGUUUUGAUUAGGAAAAUAAUUUGGGCUGGUUCAGUUGCGGAUUUUCCACCUAAGGAGUCAUGGAGGAGCAGACGGGGUCUCCCGCAGCCAACGCCGACAGUAACACCCAGAGAAACGGAGAUGAGAAACCGCGCCGCGGCAACUGGACCAAGGGGAGAAAGAGGAAGAAGCCGAUGAAGGACAGCAACGCGCCCAAAGCCCCGCUGACGGGCUACGUGCGCUUCAUGAACGACAGGCGCGAGCAGCUGCGGGCCGAGCGGCCCGACGUGCCCUUCCCAGAGAUCACCAGGAUGCUGGGCAACGAGUGGAGCAAGCUGCCCCCCGAGGAGAAGCAGCGCUACCUGGAAGAGGCGGAGCGGGAUAAGGAGCGCUACAUGAGGGAGCUGGAGAAGUACCAGAAGACCGAGGCCUACAAGCAUUUCACCAGGAAGGUGCAGGAGAAGCAGAAGGGCAAGCGGCACCGAGGAGACGCCGGGCACCAGGUCGCCAACGAGGCUCUGCACGAGAAGGACACCGAGGGAAAGGACAGGACCGUGUUCGACAUUCCCAUCUUCACCGAGGAGUUUCUCAACCACAGCAAAGCACGCGAAGCCGAGAUGCGGCAGCUCCGCAAGACCAACAUGGAGUACGAGGAGCGCAACGCGGCGCUGCAGAAGCACGUGGAGAGCAUGCGCGGCGCCGUGGACCGGCUGGAGGGCGACGUGAUGCAGGAGAGGGGCCGCAACGGGCUGCUGCACCAGCACCUGGAGACCCUGCGCCAGGCGCUCACCUCCAGCUUCACCGCCGUUCCUCUGCCAGGCAGCGGAGAGACGCCCACUCUGGACACCAUCGACUCCUACAUGAAGAAGCUGCACAGCAUCAUCGUCAGCAACCCCCAGGAACACGAGAGCCUCAUCAACACCGUGAGAGACGUGGUGAACCGCCUGGACAGGUGACGGUGACCGCUUCGUUUUGGAUUGUUUCCUAAACUGUUCUGCUCUCGUUCUGAACUUUUCAAAAUAAUUGGACCGGGGGCGGCAGACGUGACGGAUUGUGACCCUGAAGCUGACGCUCGCUCCGGGUCGAUGCCUUGCUCUUCGAAGUUGAGUCGUCUUGUUGAAAUUUCACCCCAGUUGAGUUUCAAGCAAAUUUUUUUUUUUUUUUUCCUCCACUAAGGUAAUAUAGCUGAAAGUGGUAUAGUGGUUCAUAUUUAUUUAUAUUUCAUUUUGUACUUUUUCUAAAAACUUCACAUUAUUAAAAAUAGCUGUAGUUUCUUUUUUUCUUUUUUUUUUAAUGAAUGAAAUACACUAUUGCACAAUUUUCAGUCAUUGUCCCACUUGACCAUUAAUGACAACAAAAAACUUCAGAAACAGCAUCUAAAUCAUCAUUAAGCAUUUCGUCUGUGUAUUUGUAUUUACAUAUACAAAAAAAAUUCCUUUUUAUGUUCUGUUGAAGAAAAACGUGCCAUUAUUUUAUUUUCCCUUCUGUGUGAGAAAGUGUUUGUGCUGUUUACAAUAAAUGGUAUUUCCACCACGCGAGCAUCCAGUUUAU